rnacentral:lncRNA from 1 species
CUGGUAACAUAGUUUGCCAAGAAUGGAUGGGAAAAAUCGUUUUUUUUUUUAAUUUGGCAGUUAAUCUCUUCUGAAGUUUUCCUUUCAGCUAAUCACACAGCAAAACAUUCUGCCAAAUGUAAACUAUUUUUAGGGUAAGUAAUGACACUGGACAAAGAUGAAAUAGGUCUGUAUUUUGUAAAUAUAAUCCCCUAAGAUCUGCUUUUUUGGCUUUGUGCCCGAGGUGCAGUUGCACCCUAGUGCAGUGAUAGGUAGUAGUGAUGACGAGUAGCUGAUCUCAGUGUGGGCUGGUGGGCCGAGAGGGGCUGCCUUAUAUAUACACCACGCAGCAAGCCUUCCUAAAAGUCACCUUAACUGUCUUUGAUCUUCCUCUGAAAUCCCUUGCCCCAUUCCAGCAGAAUCCUUCCCCAUAACUUUGACUUCCUUAAUCAGACCCAGGCCUGAUUUUAUUUUAGGAAAGGUAUAUGAAGAAGCAGGAAUCUUACGUAGGCAAGAAGGUGCUGAAGGUCUGGUUGUUUUCCCAUGCCAGUGUGACAAAUGGUCAUUCCUUGCAGAGGAACUGUCAGGUCUUCCCUACAGCAGUCCUGCUACGUGCUAUGAGUGGGUUCCCAACUUCACUGCCUCCUUCAGAAUCUUCAGGUCUUUAAUACCUGUUAUAAAUAAGCCUUCUGUUCAAAUGACUAGAAUAAGCUUUUAUAAUCUGCUAAUCUGCUCUAUUGGUAUCAAACUCACCCCCUGUCCCAGCCAGUUCUCAGCCUUUCCAGGCACCUCUCUCUACCAACCUUCUUAUCUCAGAACUUCCUCGUACAACGGGAAAGAGCUAGAGGGCAGUUCACCCAGUGGUCACAUCAGGAUUCCCAGUACAUCCAGGGAACUCAACAAGAACAAUAGCAAAGAUGCAAGAGCUUGGAGGACACCUGCCCAAGACUUAUCCAGAGAUGCUGUGUCCCAGUCUCCAAUGCAUCUAAACCACCUUCUGGUUAUUCACUUAGCUUGGGGAAUAAUUUUACAACUGUGAGUUGUAAAUUCCUAGGAAUCUAACAAUUUCAUUUCACCUGGAAGUUGACAUUUUAAAAAGACUCGUGCAAUCAAAAUAAUUGGACUAGUCUUAUCCUAAAGAUGUUUACAUGUAUCAAUUUAAUUAUAGGAGGAGAUACAGUGACAAAUAUGUGAGUUCUGAGUAGGUGGAUGGAGAAGGAGCUGGAAUCCAAGCAGGAAGAUUAAAUUUAAGAAGCAGGUGGGUGUGCUCUUCCACAAUGAAGGGUGGGCUUUCCGGAUAUAGGGGAAGUGGUUUUCAACCAUAGAUGCAACUCAAAAUCAUCUAAAGUGAGCUUUUUUAAAAAAUCCAAUACCUUACCUACACUAAGGCAAAGGAAGUCAGAAUCUCUUAAGCCCAGAUGCCAGUAUUUUAAAAAGUCUCUAUGAGGGUUUGGCCCAGGGAUUUAGCUCAGUGGUGCCACUGUCUGCCCUGCAAGUGCAAGGUCCUAAAUUCAAUCCCUGAUACAAAAAAAAAGAGAAAAAGAAAAGUAAAGAUUUUUUUAAAAAAUGUCUCUGUGUGAUCCCAUUGUGCAGUUACUCCUAUAGCAAUGUUGUGAGACAUGGUGUAACCUCUAGCUGAGUUUGGAUCUCAUAAUUCUUGGCAUUAGUAGCAAAAGUAGGGAGAAUUUUCUUUAGCAACAAUAAAUAUUCACAAAUUUGUAUUUGAGGGGCUACAAAACAGGAUCAAUGUUUGAAAACUGGAUAUGUAGAGCACAGUGAUAAUAAAGUGGAGAGUGUUGGUUAAAGUAAUCAUAAAGUUAGCUCUGGGAAGCUUGUUUGUAAAGAGAAGUUAAGGGGCUUGGGGUGUCUGGUAGGUAGAGGACUGAGCCACUGAAACUGCAGGUUCAGGUGAAGAGAGCAAGGAAAGGAGAAGGCAGAGGCUAUGGUGGGGAGGAUGUGAUGAGGCAUUGGUUUGGAUUUAUUAUAGACAAAGACACCUAGAAUCAUUGAUAGUCCAAUUGAAGGGCUUCCCCUCCUAGAGUUAACCAAUUUUUAGAGAUAACAAAUGAUUCUUCUGUGAGUAUGCCAUUAAUAUGCAAACCAACCACCUUAGUUACUUUCUCAUUGCUCAGACACACCAGACAGACAUCCACAACUCUAAGGAGGAAAGGUUUAUUUUGUCUCACAUUUGGUAGAGGUUUCAGUCCAUAGUGAACUAAUCUACUGAUGAGUAUCACACCCCCAAAUCCAAUAAUCUACCUUAAACCUCACCUAUGAGCACAUGGGACUUUGGAGGGACAUCUAGAUAUGAACCACAACGCCAACCAAUCCAGACACUAUAUCCCUAGGCACCUUAUUUUUUUCUAAACUUUAUACACCAUGUCCAACAUUUUCCAUAUCCUAAGCCACCCCAGGCCCAAGUCCUGGACAGCUAGGGACCAUCCCAUACCCUAUAGCCCUCAGGAAUUAUCCAAACUUCCCAGUCCUAAACUUGCUCAAGCUUUCUGGCCCUCCUUGCCUAUUCUUUCACAUGGACCCAAUACUCAACGCCAAGCUCUUUCUUUGCUCUUACUGCUUCCUGAUCAUCCACCUGCC